CUCUUCACGUGACUGGCGGCGGGCGGGAAGGCGCUGGCUCAGUUCGCUCCCCGUUCCGGGUCAUCGCCAGGAACCGUCUUCGGUCACGCCGCUUCCCCCUGACAGGGUUGUGCCUCUGGCAGCAAACGGAGCUCCGUGUCGCGCCCCGGCAAUGACUGCCGCCUCAGGAACUGGAGUUUUUAAGCGGCCGGGGGUUGAUGAAAGACGUGACAGAAGGAGAAUCAAUAACUUCAGGAAGAAAAAAAAGAAAUAAGAAGCCUUCAAAUAUACAAUGGAUUCCUGAACAGCUAUUCAAAAUUCAUCCACUCCCUGUGGCUGGAACGGGAAGGGGAAAUGGCCAACCAACAGUGAAGGAAAGCAGAUCUUAACCGGGGUUUUCAGUCAGAUGAACACAAACAUCCUUAGUAUCAGCAACAUCCACUAAGGACUAUGAUGUCUCCACUGGACUGGCACACAAGUAGGCACAGCCACAUCAUCAGAACAUGACAGAGCAAAAUCCACUUUUAUCCUGGGAUAAGGAUUCACUUUACUGGCCUAAGCAAUAGUACAGAAGAAUUGGGAAGACAUCAAUUUUAGCAUAGCACGUGCCUAUAAAACAAGAAAUCUAUUGAAUACUAUGAAAAGCAAGACAUGAAAAUACUUUUAAAAUUCAGUAACUAUUCAAACUCGGCAGAGUUUCCAAACAUAACUCCGUAGAGAAUUCUUACCGCCAAGUUACGAGAUGAAAUCUCUGCUCUGUAACUUCGAACAUCCUCCAAGUCCAGAGUGGCAACCAGCACCUCCUACGGAAAGGCUUUCAAUGUUAGAUCGGUUCUACACAAACAAAUAAACAACACUUGGACUACAAAAAACACUGGAGAAGAAGAACGCAUGCAACUUCUUUCAAUCCUGGUUUGUAUGCAUACACAAACAUUUUCAGGAAGCUCUUGUACUGUGAGAGCUCUUCCUUGCUCUCAAGAGAAGGCAAUUUUACUAGGAAAAACCUUGGAUCUUGUUGAAUAACAUAGUAAAAAUAAAUCUUUUUUAGUCUAGAGACAUGGACCUAAUAUCUGGAACAUCUGGGAAGUGUUGAGCAUAAAUGCAGCAGUACUAAUUUCAGCUGUAACCAGCAGCUAUAGGUUGAAUAUAUUACCACAUCAUCAAGUGAAAACUGGGAUCCUUGUGCGACUGUUUCUCCAUUCACCGAAAUCAUGGCACAGCCGUCAUAAUACAGACGAUCGCCGUCACAGCCUUUCUGGUUAGCUAAAAUAUAUAUUCCACCGUUCUGGGAGGAAAACAAAGAUGCAGACAAAAAAAGUGCUUUUCAGAAUAUAGCGCCUGACAGAAUGUUAAAAGGCAAAAUGCUAUUUAUCUGUUCCUGGCCUUCUUAUCAUUUUCCUAAGUCUUUAUAUUGUGAAUUAUUUACAGCUAGGACACUCUCUUGUCAUUUGUAAAACUACUUUGCAUGUGAUACGCACAAUGGAAAGAAGUAACUACAAAAGUAAAUGUAGUAACUGAGCUGUAUCCCUUUCACGUUGUUGGAGUCUUCUGUUAUUAGCCCAAACAGAGAGGGCUGCACUUCUAAAUCGAAAUUCAAAGUCCAAAUUGAGACUGGGAAAAGCAGGAAGAUGACAACAGGUGUGUUUGGAUAUCUGAGGACAAAGCAGAUGCUGCUAAAUAGAACCAAAGCGUGUUAAAUUACGAUGACAAAGCAGUUAAACAAAUAGAACAUUUUUCACAGUGUAAUGUACAUUCAUUACUUUGGUUUGUCUCCAUCACUUGGACAGGAUUACAGUCUAAUAACUAAAUGUCUGCUCUUCUUCAAAAUAAACAGAACCUUCAAAGUAGAAAAAAAUUGAAUAUAUUUUAAGUAAGAAGAUGAUGGGGAAAAAUAAUGAAGUCUGAGUUUAAACACUUAUUUCUAUUUCCCCUUUCUGAUACAGUUACCAGGACUUCUCCAGCACAAUGUUGCUAUGUGAACAAAAACUGGGAAAAAAACUGACAUUUUAAGGAAACAAAGAGACUUUUGGAUGGUUUUAUAUGUGCUAGGGAAAUAAUCCCCUUUGUUGAUGGAACUACAAGCUGGCAAUGAGCUGGCAAUUCAGCACAUGAAGUCAGUUAUUCUGAUGAACCAUUUUCUAUCCAUUUCUAUCCAUUAUACAUUUAUCCAUGAUAUAUUUUUUUUCUUCUGUGCUUAACAGAAUUAAGACUGAGGACAUCAUAUGCAUUUUUUGGAGCAUAGGUCUCCAGAGCUGGGAGUUAUCAAGCUGUUUUAAGGUAUUUUUAGUGCUUGUGAAAGAUACUAUACUUGGCAUGCCAGUGCAGGACUAGAUGUUCUUCUGGUCUGCUGCUCCACAGACCAGACAGAGCCAACAUGCAGUCAAACAGCUUCUGGCAUUUGGGGUCACAGAGCUGGAAAUAAAUUAGUGUUUCACAUUAGAGCAAGAUAUAUAGCAGGAUGCCCCAAAUAAGUACAGUCCCCCUGCCAGAGAGCUCUGCCCCUAUAGCUGAUUCAAUCAGGGAAGGGAAUUAUAGGUAAGAAAACAAAAAGCUAACAACCAAGUCUGUCAAGGCCUCCACAUUCACAUAGGAAAUGCUACAUCCUGUCACAAGAGAGACGACUUCUGAAAUAAAGUGAGGUGCGUAACCAAAAACACAUUAUUUUAUUAAGCGUAUACCUUUGCUGUGGCAGAAUUCACCAAAUCCACGCGGGUGUGAGCCUUCCGCAGCACGUGGUGACUCCCUGAAGAGUUAGUGAAAAUUUCCACGCCGUCAAGCCCCAUUUCAAUAUGAGGGCUGGCAAAGCAAAAGGCAGGAACAAAAUUCAGCUGGUAAUACUAUGCUGUGGGUACUACAGGCAUCAUUUAAAACCACCGACAAGUAAAAACAUCUGUGUCGUUGCCAGUUUUCUGCAUGUCUAUCCAAAUAAGGAUAGGACUCACAAAAACAUCUGGUUUUUUGCAUUGCCUGACUCUUCUGUCAAAGACCAGUGGUGGCUGCAAAGAGCAAAAGGGUUUUUGCUCCUUUUGCUCUAAGUGAAUGUCUGUAACUGAGAGAUUUACAAAAAACAUCAGGAAUAUUUUGCUUAUUUUAUGGUAACUACAACAGCUUUCACGUUUUUUUGUCUCUCCACCCCCACCCCUCAUCAGACCUUUGUGAAUGGGAUCUUCUUUAUUGUUGGGAAAAACUUUAAAUUGUAACAAGAAUUAAAAUAAUAACAGGAAGUAUUCAGGGCACUAGGCUUUGCUUUUGUUGUUUCCUUCUGCAUUAUCUUCAUGCAUUGUCUGAUGCUGCUUAAAAAAUAAAGCAGAAGGACGAAGCUAA